rnacentral:rRNA from 1 species
GAUGAACGCUGGCGGCGUGCCUAAUACAUGCAAGUCGAGCGAACAGACGAGGAGCUUGCUCCUCUGACGUUAGCGGCGGACGGGUGAGUAACACGUGGAUAACCUACCUAUAAGACUGGGAUAACUUCGGGAAACCGGAGCUAAUACCGGAUAAUAUAUUGAACCGCAUGGUUCAAUAGUGAAUGACGGUUUUGCUGUCACUUAUAGAUGGAUCCGCGCCGCAUUAGCUAGUUGGUAAGGUAACGGCUUACCAAGGCAACGAUGCGUAGCCGACCUGAGAGGGUGGUCGGCCACACUGGAACGGAGACACGGUCCAGACUCCUACGGGAGGCAGCAGUAGGGAAUCUUCCGCAAUGGGCGAAAGCCUGACGGAGCAACGCCGCGUGAGGGAUGAAGGUCUGCGGAUCGUAAAACUCUGUUAUUAGGGAAGAACAAAUGUGUAAGUAACUAUGCACGUCUUGACGGUACCUAAUCAGAAAGCCACGGCUAACUACGUG